rnacentral:rRNA from 1 species
UGCCAGCAGCCGCGGUAAUACGGGAGGGGCAAGCGUUAUCCGAAAUAACUGGGCGUAAAGGGUUCGUAGACUGUAUUGAAAGUUAAAAGCGAAAUUCUAAAGCCUAACUUUAGAUCAGCAUUUAAAACUACUUUACUUGAGUUUAAAAGAGAAUAGCGGAAUUUCAUAUGGAGAGAUAAAAUUCUAAGAUAUAUUGAAGGAACACCAGCAGCGAAGGCGGCUAUUUUGUUUAAUUACUGACGUUGAGGAACGAAAGCAUGGGUAGCAAACAGGAUUAGAUA